rnacentral:lncRNA from 1 species
UUUUUUACACAUAAUACUUUAUAUCAAAAAUUUUAUUUCCAGUCAGUCAACAGUAAUAAGAAUGAGAAAACCUUGGUUUUAGAAACUACCUCCCAGACAGAAAGUAAGUAUAUAGGCUGGGGUGGCUCACACUUGUAAUCCCAGCACUUUGGGAAACCGAGGCCAGUGGAUCACUUGAGGCCAAGAGUUUGAGACCAGCCUGGCCAACAUGGUGAAACUAUGUCUCCAUAGUUUCACCCCAUCUCUACUAAAAAUACAACAAUUAGCUGGGUGUGGUGCCACACGCCUGUGUCCAACUAUUCUGGAGACUGAAGCAGGAGAAUUGCUUGAACUCAGGAGGUGGAGGCUGCAGUGAGCUGAGAUCACGCCACUGCACUCCAGCCUGGCCAACAGAGCGAGACUGUCUCAAAAAGAAAAAAGAAAGUAAGUAUAUAAAUAUGAGAUAGUACUUGAGUUAUUACUUGAGG